rnacentral:rRNA from 1 species
CGCAUGAUUCAAUUUAAAAGAUGGCUUCGGCUAUCACUUUGGGAUGGACCUGCGGCGCAUUAGCUUGUUGGUAGGGUAACGGCCUACCAAGGGCUGUGAUGCGUAGCCGAGUUGAGAGACUGAUCGGCCACAAUGGAACUGAGACACGGUCCAUACUCCUACGGGAGGCAGCAGUAGGGAAUCUUCCACAAUGGGCGCAAGCCUGAUGGAGCAACACCGCGUGAGUGAAGAAGGGUUUCGGCUCGUAAAGCUCUGUUGUUAGAGAAGAACGUGCGUGAGAGCAACUGUUCACGCAGUGACGGUAUCUAACCAGAAAGUCACGGCUAACUACGUGCCAGCAGCCGCGGUAAUACGUAGGUGGCAAGCGUUAUCCGGAUUUAUUGGGCGUAAAGCGAGCGCAGGCGGUUUGAUAAGUCUGAUGUGAAAGCCUUUGGCUUAACCAAAGAAGUGCAUCGGAAACUGUCAGACUUGAGUGCAGAAGAGGACAGUGGAACUCCAUGUGUA